rnacentral:rRNA from 1 species
UCUGGAAACUGUNUGACUUGAGUGCAGAAGGGGAGAGUGGAAUNCCAUGUGUAGCGGUGAAAUGCGUAGAUAUAUGGAGGANCACCAGUGGCGAAAGCGGCUCUCUGGUCUGUCACUGACGCUGAGGCUNGAAAGCGUGGGUAGCGAACAGGAUUAGAUACCCUGGUAGUCCACGCCGUAAACGAUGAGUGCUAGGUGUUAGGCCCUUUCCGGGGCUUAGUGCCGGAGCUAACGCAAUAAGCACUCCGCCUGGGGAGUACGACCGCAAGGUUGAAACUCAAAGGAAUUGACGGGGGCCCGCACAAGCGGUGGAGCAUGCGGUUUAAUUCGAAGCAACGCGAAGAACCUUACCAGGUCUUGACAUCCCGAUGCUAUUCUUAGAGAUAGGAAGUUACUUCGGUACAUCGGAGACAGGUGGUGCAUGGUUGUCGUCAGCUCGUGUCGUGAGAUGUUGGGUUAAGUCCCGCAACGAGCGCAACCCUUAUUGUUAGUUGCCAUCAUUAAGUUGGGCACUCUAGCGAGACUGCCGGUAAUAAACCGGAGGAAGGUGGGGAUGACGUCAAAUCAUCAUGCCCCUUAUGACCUGGGCUACACACGUGCUACAAUGGUCGGUACAACGAGUUGCGAGCCGGUGACGGCAAGCUAAUCUCUGAAAGCCGAUCUCAGUUCGGAUUGGAGGCUGCAACUCGCCUCCAUGAAGUCGGAAUCGCUAGUAAUCGCGGAUCAGCACGCCGCGGUGAAUACGUUCCCGGGCCUUGUACACACCGCCCGUCACACCACGAGAGUUUGUAACACCCGAAGUCGGUGAGGUAACCUUUUAGGGGCCAGCCGCC